rnacentral:rRNA from 1 species
GGGCCCGCACAAGCGGUGGAGCAUGUGGUUUAAUUCGAUGCAACGCGAAGAACCUUACCUACUCUUGACAUCCAGAGAACUUUUCAGAGAUGAAUUGGUGCCUUCGGGAACUCUGAGACAGGUGCUGCAUGGCUGUCGUCAGCUCGUGUUGUGAAAUGUUGGGUUAAGUCCCGCAACGAGCGCAACCCUUAUCCUUGUUUGCCGGCACUUCGGGUGGGAACUCCAGGGAGACUGCCGGUGAUAAACCGGAGGAAGGUGGGGACGACGUCAAGUCAUCAUGGCCCUUACGAGUAGGGCUACACACGUGCUACAAUGGCGCAUACAGAGGGCGGCCAACUUGCGAAAGUGAGCGAAUCCCAAAAAGUGCGUCGUAGUCCGGAUCGGAGUCUGCAACUCGACUCCGUGAAGUCGGAAUCGCUAGUAA